UACGAAGGGAGCUAGCGUUGUUCGGAAUCACUGGGCGUAAGCGCACGUAGGCGGAUGUGUCAGUCAGGGGUGAAAUCCCGGAGCUCAACUUCGGAACUGCCUUUGAUACAGCACGUCUUGAGUCCGAUAGAGGUGGGUGGAAUUCCUAGUGUAGAGGUGAAAUUCGUAGAUAUUAGGAAGAACACCGGUGGCGAAGGCGGCCCACUGGAUCGGUACUGACGCUGAGGUGCGAAAGCGUGGGGAGCAAACAGG
rnacentral:rRNA from 1 species